rnacentral:lncRNA from 1 species
AUUGUUAGUUUAAAGAAGACUGUGAGUGUCAGCACAUAAAAAGGUAAUCCUGUCUCAAUUGUAGCUACAGAUUGCAAGUCCUGUGUCAAUUCAAAUUUUUGCCAGCAGAUACUAAUGACUUCAUUGAAAGCAGAUGUUUAGAAAUGAAAGUAUAAACACAACCCCAGUUGAUUAAUAUGCUUAUUGUAUUUCCUUGUUGUGAGUCUAGCGAAUAUUUGAUUAUCUUUAAGUUGAUCCAUAGUAUAUUCAACAGUCUCAUGAGAACAUAAUUUUUGUUGAUGAUUUGUCCAAAGUUUCUAUCAAUCCAUCUUAGCAGCAGAGCCAAGUGUUAGAGUUAUUGCUGCCUGAGUUAUAACAGCUGCCCUGGGAAUCUUGUCUGAACAACAAGUUAACUGCUGUUCCCAGUUAUAUCUGGUCUUUCCCACCCCCAAACAUACACAAAAGAUUUUUGUCAUUCUUGGCACUGGACAACAGAAGUGAUAAGACAUGCCAGCAGAACUCUAAAGGCAGAAUGUCCUUCCACCUGUUUUAUGCUGUAAGACAAACUUCCAAGUGCGAGGCAGUGUGGAGGGCUGUUGCCUUGAAUGGCAGCUGAAUGCACCAGCGGGAUCCUUGGCAGCAAUGCCCAGGCACUGAAGUCGGGCAUUCAGGAGAGCUAAAUGGAGAAAAGAAACUUGAGCAAACUGCUUCCUGGAACACUGAGAACCUGAAUGGGAAAUUAAGAAGAACCAGAUUCUUUCUAUUCUUCCACCAGCCAAGAUUUUCCCACCCAUCUUAAAGCAGCAACUUCAGGAUGGGGGAAUCAAGCAAAACCAUGGUGAAGAGAUUCAUUUAAAGAGGACAAGUGAUUUAUUCUACAUCUCAGGAGACAGUUCCUUAAGGUGAUGAGCACAAAAGGAUCCAUCUUAUACAGUGCUUGCCAGCUUCCAUAAUACUACUCACCACGAUGUUGAAAUCACCUGUUCCAGAACCAGUCCUGUCCUUUGACAAGAAGGAUUUAAUUAUCAGUAGUGGUGGGGACUGGCUGGAGAGAGGAAAAACACUUCAAGGACUCUGCCACCUUUCGUAGAUGGAGAGUGCAAAGUUUGUACCAUGGAACUCCUUCUCUAACAGUUACUCUGUGGCAGUGCCUAUUUCAAACCUCCCUUAACUUCUGAUUGUAUAGAUGUUUGUUUCAUUUGUUCAUCUGUUUGUUCACUUAGUCAGAGAUGUUUUAAGCCUUAAGAGAAAUAGUGGACUAGAAAAUGCCUUGGAAAAGUACAAAGUUCAAUCCAAGUAAACUGUUUUUAAACUAGGAAUUUAUGAAGCCUAAAAUAUAAAAUGUAUAUACAUGGAUAUGCUCUGAAGUGAGGUAGAGGGGUAGAAAUCAACAUUGUGAUAUUGUACUAUAGUUUUGCAAGAUGUUACCAUUGGGGGAAAAUGUUUGAAGGGUAUACGGGAUAUCUCUGCCUUAUUUCUUACAACUGCAUGUGAAUCUACAGUUAUCUCAAAAUAAAAAUUUAAUUAACAAUUGAUUACAAUUAACAGCAUUAAUUUCUUAUCCUGUCAUUUUCCUUCUCCUGAAAUUGCAGAAUAGCCAAACAGAAACCUACCCAUGACCACCAUCUGAGAUUCUUUGGUGCCCGUAUUAGUGGACAUAGGCAGGUGUAUCAGGAGGCAUCCAGUCACGCAUACUGGAAGAUACUGACUCAACUGAUUUAAGCAAAGGAAAAUACAGUGUAUUAUAUAAUGAGACAUCUU